rnacentral:rRNA from 1 species
UACAGAGGUCUCAAGCGUUGUUCGGAUUCAUUGGGCGUAAAGGGUGCGUAGGCGGCGCGGUAAGUCGGGUGUGAAAUCUUGGAGCUUAACUCCGAAACUGCAUUCGACACUGCCGUGCUUGAGGACUGGAGAGGAGACUGGAAUUUACGGUGUAGCGGUGAAAUGCGUAGAUAUCGUAAGGAAGACCAGUGGCGAAGGCGGGUCUCUGGACAGUUCCUGACGCUGAGGCACGAAGGCCAGGGGAGCAGACGGG